rnacentral:rRNA from 1 species
GGGCCCGCACAAGCGGAGGAGCAUGUGGUUUAAUUCGAUGAUACGCGAGGAACCUUACCAAGGCUUAAAUGGGAGACGACAGGUUUAGAAAUAGAUCUUUCUUCGGACGUCUUUCAAGGUGCUGCAUGGUUGUCGUCAGCUCGUGCCGUGAGGUGUCAGGUUAAGUCCUAUAACGAGCGCAACCCCUGUUGUUAGUUGCCAGCGAGUCAUGUCGGGAACUCUAGCAAGACUGCCGGUGCAAACCGUGAGGAAGGUGGGGAUGACGUCAAAUCAUCACGGCCCUUACGCCUUGGGCUACACACGUGCUACAAUGGACGGUACAGAGAGCAGCCACUACGCAAGUAGGAGCGAAUCUACAAAACCGUUCUCAGUUCGGAUCGGAGUCUGCAACUCGACUCCGUGAAGCUGGAUUCGCUAGUAAUCGCAGAUCAGCCAUGCUGCGGUGAAUACGUUCCCGGGCCUU